rnacentral:lncRNA from 1 species
UUAGGCAAAGAGAAAACACUCAAUUCAUAAUGUAAGAUUCAGUGCUUACUGCGCAUGGCAUGCUCAACAUUAACAUCUGUGUUUCUAGAACACAAGUGUGGCAUUGUUCCCCUCAUAUUCAUCCUUUUAAAAGUUCCCCUAAACUCAAUAUAAAAUAAACAAUGUUGUAAAAUUCCAACUUAAUUAAAAUCCUGGUGCAGAUGCAUUGAUUAUUAGGCUUACUAACGAAGAAGGGAAAAGAGGAAGGCAAAUGAACUAUCUCAACCCCAAACUCACCUCCUCCUAUUCCCCAGCAAGCAGGAGGCAAGAUGAGAUUUAUGCCAGGAGAUGAGAAGAAUUUCCAUCCUGUUUGGGUUAUGCUGAGAUGCUUUUGGAAGACACGUAAGAGAAGAAAACAGAGCGGUAGGAAAGCACGAUUUCCUAUUUACUUCUUUUGGGAAUACACAUUUAUCAACCCUGCCCCAAGGAGGCCAGAUUUCCAGUCUGAGGCGAGCAGAGCCGGAGCUUUCACAAUGGAACGGAGGGAUGGCCUGGGAGGGGGUCCUUUCUAGCCAGCGAUUUCGGCUGCCUGCCGUUGCCAUGGCAACUGCAAGCACAAAUCAGAUUCACCUGCUGUCUCUGCUCCUUUUGUUCAGAGCAAACUAUUAAGCCGCCAACAGCAGGAUUAGCAAGUCAGAGGCAUUUAGAUGAACGGGAUGCCACCUUCUGUGAACAGAUCUUGUGUUCUGUAAUGAACCUGCACCUCCCCAGGGCCUGGUUAACAUCGUAGCAAAAGGGAGCUUGAGAAAAAUACUGGUCUAAAGACGUUUAUGAUCGCACCGGGCCAAAUUUUUCUGAGAAAGAGUUUAAGUCUUUAGUUCUCAAAUCCAGCGUUUCCUAAACUCUAGGAUGCCUCAGAAUCCCCUAAAUCUGCAAAAUGCAAAUGUCCAGGGCCCACCCCCCGAAAAGCUAAUUUAGUAGGUCUGAGUCCGGGCCCAGGACUCUGAAAUUUGAAUCUUAAGGGAUUUUCCGCACAAGGAGACGACUUGGAAUACAUUCAGGCCAUCUGGCUUUAGUCGGGUGGCAAAGUGGUUUUAGGAAGGUCCGGAGCUUUAGACUGUUUGCUUUGGGGGCUCCUUCAUUGGAACUCAGUUGUGGGCCUCCCGCAGCGGGGUACCCGAUACCUGCUGUUCUCAUGCAGGGAGAAGACGAGGACCCCCUCCCUCCCCUGCAGCACCAGCCGCUUCAGAGAACUGGCAGGGCAAGCUGUUACUUCCAAGUUCAAGGCGAAGAGAUCAAGUUGUAAUCACGUUCUGCCUUUCCAUCAUGUUUCUAGGUUGCCCUAGGUGCUUGUUUUCACCAUAUUCAGUUUGUUAAGCGGAUACAGAAUCCCGGCAAGCACCUGCCCCCAGGGAUGGCCGUGGAAAAGAGGCUGGCCUGUCCGGGAAACCUUUCCGCAGAGUCGGCAUUUAAGGUCGACAGGAAUCGCACACGGUGGUUCCCGCUGAAGUUCCGAACAUCCUAAGGAAAACUUCGCAGGAGGAAGGCCCCGUGGCCCAGCCCCGCAGCCAUGUUUCAGAGAAGCCUUCAGCGCGUGCGCGUGCGCCUGCGCCAGAGCGCGGAGGGCGGGACUCAUGCUCAUCUUCAAACGCAGCUUCUCUCUGAAGGACAACAAAUUAGGGCCGAGUCGAAGUCCUAUUUUGGGAAAGGAGAAGUGGCUCAGGAGGAGCUCAAGGCACAGAGAGGACCAGAGGACCGCUGUGUCGCUCACACUCUGUUUUCACAAAAUGGGAACCAAAGGACUGGUUUCCAAAUGCGAUGAAAAUUAAAAAUAAAGUAACACACAGGCAAUUGUUGCUGACGGUUUUGUUUUCAAAGAAAAACCCUCUACUAACGCUUGUGAACCAGAAGCUCCCUGGCAGCAGCAACUGCAGCCCAGCGUUGCAGACGAGUCGCAGUUUAGAUGGGAGCUCAGGAGUGCGGGGUGCUAUCCUGUCCCACGGACCUCAGGGAGUCGAUUUACUGGGAAGGUAGCAGU